AUUGAUCGGCGGAUCAAUCGAAUCUCUCGUGCAAUCCUGUCGAUUGACACCAAAGUGCCAGUAUCAAAUCGCAGUGACGUAAAACUUACGUGGUCGCAAAGAUCGAGAAGAAACGCGACACUCUUUAAAUCUUCUCAUGUUCGAGCAUCUGAAUACUUUUACGAGUGUACGAAAAUGAUAUUUACAUUGAUCCUUUAUAGAACGAAAUGUAACAAUAGAUUACAGGAAAUUAUUUUAUAAAUCUCUAUAAAGGAUUAAUAGCUGCUAAACUCAUUAGAAGAUAGCGAUUAUUCAUGCAAUCAAUUGUCGUUCAAUGAUUAAUGUUCAUUAAGGGCCCAAUCUACUCUAGCAGUAUUAAAAAUUGAUUAUUCUUAGGAAUUUUUGAAGAAUAUUAGAAAUUGAUCUUUUUGCUGUUUUACACGUGUUUUUAUUGAUAUAAACAGUAGUUUAAACAGUAUGUCAGUAUUUUUAAAUCAUGGAUAUUUAGCUCUUUUUUUGUUCAAUACGAGUAGAUAUCAUUAUAUUCAGUAAUUGUUUGAAUGAAAAAGCUCGAUCUAGUUUUAUUCCGUAAGAUUUUUUUUGGAAUACUGAAUCUAAUUUUAUUAGAAAAAAAUUGAAAAAUAAAGUAAUAUCAUUUUAAUAUUAGAUAUUUCAAUUUUGCUGAAAUUUUUUCAUUUUUUGAGGGAGACAGAAAAAUAUUAAAUAUUAAUUUUUUAAAUUCUAAUUAGAUUCAGUAUCCUUCAAAAAAGUGUUCUUUUUUAUUUAAAAAAAAAAGUUGAAGUUAUUCGAUCCAUUAGUUUUGAAAAUAUCCACCAUACCAACUUUGAAAACAGAGUUUCGAGAAAAACUUUAAAGUUCCGCAGGUCCAUUUCAAGAUCCGCGCGCCAUCCUAUUUUUAUAAUUAAAAUUUGAAACAUAUUCUUCAUACUUUCAGAAAAUAUAAAAAAAGAGAAAUCGAUUUUUUUCUCUCUCUUUAAAGUAGAUUGGGCCCUUAAUUAAAUUUUUAUCCGUAAGUGGACGUAUACGCCAGCCUAUAUACAUUCUUAUUAUUUUUCGAUGUAAUAAAAAUUGUUAUAACGUGAUGACAUAAUUGUUAUAACGUGAUUGAAAGUAGGACGUAAAAGCGUAGUUUAACACGGGUAAAAUGUGGCUGUGUAUCAUAGUUCAAUGUUGCGAGCGCACUAUUUAUAGAUUUUUAGUGUGAGAAGAAUUUACUGGUUCCGGGAGGCGAAUGCUUACAUGUAAAACGAGUAUCAUUACAUAUAUACGGGUGUCCUUGGAGAAGAACAAACGCAGCCAAGUCUUCCUAAGACACUUAUAUGCGUUCUCAUUAACGUCUAAAUCUAAAUUGCAUUAACAAGUCAAGCAAGUUAUUAUGAUCUGUAUCUGAUAUAUUUUUGAGUAGAAAUGAAACUGAAUCACUUUAUAAUGAGAGCGAAUAUAUGUAUAUAUACAUAACGAGGAAGACGAAAAAUAGCGUGAGUGCCCUCGAGAUGUGAAUCUUUCAAAAUCUAAAAAACACUAGAGAGCUUCGCGAGCGUCCACUUUUCGAAAAAAAAUAUUUCCAGCGCCCGAUUACUUAUGCGACUGACAAUUCGCGAAUUUGAGUUAACGCGAGCGAUCCCACCGCGUUUCUACGCCACUGGCUAACGCAAUCGUUAGAUAGAGAUACGAUCAACAAUGCCAAACCGUAUAUUACUAGUCAAUGUGUGCAUAAUAAAUCGCAGAUAGAGUAAGAUAGUUUGUUUAAUUAGGCAAUUAUGGCAACGACGACGAUUACGGCGUCUCUAUCACGCGACAGAUGACGGAGGGCGUGCCUGUAAUCUAUUACAUGAGCUCAUGCGAUGCAUUGGCUAUGCUCGAUCUUGCCAGUAACACUCGUUACGUAUGUAAAAAAGAAAACGAUACGCGAGAGACCAAAGUUAAUUAAUUAUGUAAACGUAAAACGAUUACAUUGUCGUCAAUCAAGAUAAGAAAUUGAGACGUAAUUGAACGAUAUGUAGAUACACAAGUAUCUAUUCAUCGUUUAAAGUCUACGAAUAAGAAACAAAUUGAAUAAAUUUAAUAGAGCAAAUUAUAUACAUAUUUAUCUCAAAUUUCAGCGUUGUAUUCUGUUACCGAUCAUUAUGAUAAGCUUGAAUUUUUUUGUCACACAUCUUCAAGCGAAGAUAUUAGAUUUCGGGGAUGGAGCAGAAACUUGAGAUAUCAAAUUUUUUAAUACUUUGCCAACUUUUUUUAAGCCUUGCCAUGUCAAAUGAGAUGAAGAGGCAAUUGCUGAAGCUUUUCUUACGCAUAAACCCAAAAGUAAAAUAUAUUUGCAAUUAAUUUAUACACAAUCCGAUCGCCGUUUUUCUGCGACGCUCAUAUAAUUGUAUACACAUAAUCGCUACAUUAAAUAUUACGAUACAAAUAUACAAAAUAU